rnacentral:rRNA from 1 species
AGAGUUUGAUCAUGGCUCAGAACGAACGCUGGCGGCAGGCCUAACACAUGCAAGUCGAGCGCUGUAGCAAUACAGAGCGGCGCACGGGUGAGUAACACGUGGGAACGUGCCCUUUGGUUCGGAAUAACUCAGGGAAACUUGAGCUAAUACCGGAUGAGCCCUAACGGGGAAAGAUUUAUCGCCAUUGGAGCGGCCCGCGUUGGAUUAGCUAGUUGGUGGGGUAAUGGCCUACCAAGGCAACGAUCCAUAGCUGGUUUGAGAGAACGACCAGCCACACUGGGACUGAGACACGGCCCAGACUCCUACGGGAGGCAGCAGUGGGGAAUCUUGGACAAUGGGGGAAACCCUGAUCCAGCCAUGCCGCGUGAGUGAUGAAGGCCCUAGGGUUGUAAAACUCUUUCGGCGGGGACGAUAAUGACGGUACCCGCAGAAGAAGCUCCGGCUAACUUCGUGCCAGCAGCCGCGGUAAUACGAAGGGGGCUAGCGUUGUUCGGAAUUACUGGGCGUAAAGCGCGCGCAGGCGGUCCUUCAAGUCAGGGGUGAAAGCCCAGGGCUCAACCCUGGAAUGGCCUUUGAGACUAGAGGACUUGGGUACGGGAGAGGUGAGUGGAAUUCCGAGUGUAGAGGUGAAAUUCGUAGAUAUUCGGAAGAACACCAGUGGCGAAGGCGGCUCACUGGCCCGUUACCGACGCUCAGGCGCGACAGCGUGGGGAGCAAACAGGAUUAGAUACCCUAGUAGUCC